rnacentral:rRNA from 1 species
AUUCCAGCUCCAAUAGCGUAUAUUAAAGUUGUUGCAGUUAAAAAGCUCGUAGUUGGAUUUGUGGAGUGCCGUGAAGGGCGUUCUUUGAGCGUUUCGGAUUGUGCUCGUCCAUCCUUGGGUGGAAUCUGUGUGGCAUUAAGUUGUCGUGCAGGGGAUGCCCAUCUUUUACUGUGAAAAAAUUAGAGUGUUCAAAGCAGGCUUAUGCCGUUGAAUAUAUUAGCAUGGAAUAAUGAGAUAGGACCUUGGUACUAUUUUGUUGGUUUGCGCACCGAGGUAAUGAUUAAUAGGGACAGUUGGGGGUAUUCGUAUUCCAUUGUCAGAGGUGAAAUUCUUGGAUUUUUGGAAGACGAACUACUGCGAAAGCAUUUACCAAGGAUGUUUUC